rnacentral:lncRNA from 1 species
AGAUUGAUUAAUCAUCUCCCUCACAAAGCACCAAUCCUUCCUUGUGGCAUGACAAUUACGUCCAUCAACAUCAGACUGCACCUGCAAGGAGGACAACUCCUCAAUCAGAGUAGACCCAGGAAAGUGUACCCGAAACAGUUCCUUCAAAGAGUCCUGCAAAUACUGGUCAUACCUGCCAUCAGGCAGCUUAAAAGAACCAACCCUGCAAAAGUCUCGAUAGGACAUUAUCUUCACAAGUCUGGAUACCUCAGGUAUAUCCUCAAUUCCCUGACAAUACCAUUU